rnacentral:piRNA from 1 species
UUUCAUAGUUAUUUCAUGAAU